rnacentral:lncRNA from 1 species
UCAUACACUCUAAUUCUCACCCCCUUAUAUUUUCUAAAAUAAAUAACUUUUAGCUUUCACAAACACGGUAUCACCUCCUCACUCUCCGCACCCUCUUCCCUCCUCAGUACUCUCCCAUUCCUCUUCUUCUCACUUCACCGAUCUUCUUCAUUUUCUUCUUCGUCUUCAAUCUCACUUCACCUCAUCAUCUUCAAGUAAGUUACCCGACUUCAUCUCAUUGCAUUUUAAUUUUUUUAAUUUUCCCUUUCCUCUACAAUGAAGCUUUCGCCAUUGUUGCGGAGCUUCAUUGCACCAGAUUUUAAAACCCGAUAAAUGUUGUAGUGCUUUGAGUUUUAAAACUCGGUAGUUAUUACGAGACGUAUAUACCGGGUUUUAGAACCCGAUACUAGAAUGGUAGGCUUGUUUCGUUAUGGGUUUCAAGAAACGGUAAGUUUUAGCUAGGGCAGAGAAAUGUUGUGUUUUGGGUUUUAGAACUUGAUAGUGCAUAAACAAAUUCAGUGUUCUAAGUUUUAAAACACAGUAGUACCAAAUACAUUGAGUUUGAGUUUCGGAUUUUUGAACUCUUUAAUGCAUAAAAUUUAUUUUAUUAUUCUGAUAUUUAAAUUUGGUAUUGAAUAGGAUUGUUUUGAAAUCUAAAACCCAUUUGUAUUUAAAUCUAGGCUAAAAAGCACUUUUGGCCCCUGAUGUUUCAAGUUUGUGCAAAUUCUGCCCCUACUCUAUUUUUGUCGAUGUUUCUACCCCUCAUGUUUUCAAACAGUGCAUCGUCUACCCCUCAUGUUUUCAAACAAUGCACCGUCUACCCCUCCGUCAGGGGUAGACGGUGCACUGUUUGAAAACAUGAGGGGUAGAAACAUCGACAAAAAUAGAUAGGGGCAGAACUUGCACAAACUUGAAACAUCAGGGGCCAAAAAUGCUUUUUAGCCUUAAAUCUAAUUAUUUUUGUUUUGUUUUCUUUGUUGCUUGGUUUACCAUUGUUUUGAUUAUUAUUUCUGGUUUAUUUUUUUAUUGAAUCGUUCUAUCUCUGUUAGGGUUUCACUAUCUCUGGCUUUCAUGGUGGCAGUAGGCCUAGACUCUGGUGUCUCGCCAGCUGUCACAGUUCAAAGCAUGAUAGGGGCGAGGAGGAUAGUGGGAUCCGGAGAAUGACGUUGAGGAUGGGGCGGCUCAAGGGAACAAUGGUGGAAAUCUAUCUAUUACCUAUCUUUUCAUUGACGCAAUAGCGGAAUCAGUGGGAUUUCUCCAGCUUAGAGGGUUAUUCGCACAACAUGGGACAGUCGUGAAUGCCUUCAUUCAACAUUAGAGGAAGAUUGGAAGUUUGUUCCAUUUCAGCUUUGUUCGCUUCUCAUCGAGGAAGGAUGUAAUGCCUGUGAUCAAAUUUCUAAAUGGUGUUCUGGCCGGUAGCAUCGCCUUAUUGCGUCGUUGGCUAGGUUUCUUCAUUCUAGUGCAGAGAGUUUAGGUAAGUGGGUACGCAAUGCUUCAUUUUUGUCUAAUAAGAUGGGGAGUUCUUCGCAAGUCGUGAAUGGUAUGUAGAAGGCAAAAGGUCUUCGUGCGGUUUGCUUCUCUUCUAAGGAGGAAAUAAUGCUCUUCGUUUUCUCAAGGGUAUGUGUAAUGGCUUCAAGAUUUUCGAACGAUACUUUUUUUUUCAGAAAUUGUUUUCGUUGCUUGUGGGUUAGAAGUAGAACACGUGCUGGUAGGUGGUCGAGUGUAGAUAGAUAGGGAGAAUGUGUUGGUCCUUUCAUCUUUUACGAAAUAGGGGUUUAUUGAUAAUCACUUUUUGGGUUUUAUUUAUGGAUUGGCUUCACUAAUUUUGUGGUUGGAUUUAUGGGAGGGGAAAAUGUUCAAGUUUUGUAUCAAUGGUGUUUUUAUUUCCAAGCUGGUUAUGAAUUUUUAGCCUAGUGUCUGGCUCACGAUCUCGGUUAGAGGGGGGCUCAAUGUGCAUUGUCCUGGGUUCUGCGACAUGCCUUCUGUGGUCGUGCCUUUUCGAUUGUUCGAAGCAAGGCAUGGAGAGUGGGUUUGUUUGUGCCUACUGCUAUCAUCUCCAAUGGGUGUUCAAAUCUACAUCAUUUCGUUAUUUCUUCUUAUUUGGUAUAUCUAGUGACUCAGACAUCACUCCUUUUUGUCUCUCUAAUCCUGUGGAGGCCAACCAUGAUUUUGGGUUAAAGGAUUUACCUUCCUCUUUGUGGGGAGUGGAGGUUGCG